CAGAAUUUAAGCCUGUCUGAUAAGUAAUUCGUCACUAGAUAAAAAUCAAUUUAGACCUGUCAUGAUAUUAUUGAUUAACGAAAAAUACUUAAAUCAAUGAAGUGGAUUAAAUAAAUUAACCUCCAAACUAUAUUCAACAUAUAUAAAAAUCAAUUAAUUACAUUAAAUAGUUCAACAAAAUUGAGAUAUUCUAACAAAAUCUCUUCUAUAAUCCCUCAUCAUCAGUCAACAGAACACAUCAACCACUCUUCAAAUUCUCCCUACCCCAAAUUAAUUAAUAAUAGUGACAAAGAAAUUCCUUCAAGCCCAAAUAUUUACAAAUGGAUGAAAUGAUUUUUUUUUUUUUUACCAUAUUUUUUUUUCUUUUUUAGUCUCUAAUUACACCUCGGUCAUGAGUCAGGAAGCAGCUUGGUGAGCUUGAGCCUGGUGCAUGUGGACCUUAGCAGUGAAAGGGUAUAACAAAGGCUUAGCCAGUGACAAUGAUGUAGAAUUUGUGUUGCUAGUUGUGGUAGACGAAGGGAUGGUAGCGGCGGCGGCCGUGGUGGCAACUGGGUUAUUGAUGUUGUUGGUGGUGUUAGUGGUGUGGGUGGUUGUGCCAGAGGAAAAAGUAGUAGUGGUAGCCACGCGCUCACAAGAAGGGCACAUGGUGAGAGUGGUGGCAGGAAGUUGCAUGUAGAAAGAUUGGGAAGUUUUCAAAGCUCUUAAUUCUUGCAAUUCCUUUUGCAGCCUCCUGUUCUCUUCUGUCAGUGUCUCGCAGCAUCUCUUUAAAUACUCACAAUCCACCUCCGUCUGCUUCAACUUUGUCCUAUGUAUUUCAAAAGAGAACAACACCACAAUUUCAUCAAAAUUGGGUAUUCAAAAACCCCAAAUAAGAAUUCAUAUCCCAAGAAAAAAGAAAAGACUUGUGCAGCAUACCUUGCUCUUCUGUUCUGAAACCACACUUCCACUUGGCGAGGACGAAGAUUCAAUUGCUUUGCUAAAGCAAGCUUUUGUUUCUACACAUUUUAAGUACCCUUUGUUAUUAUAGAAAGCAAGCGAUCAAAAAUUUUAUCCAAAUGACCGGAAAUGUAGGAAAAUAUUUCAUUUUCUAGAUCAGAAAUAGAAGAAACCUUCUUCCAGCACACAGAUAUCUGUAUCAUCUUUUCAAGAUUAGGACUUUAAAAGACCAAAAAAUAUACAAUUUUUUUUUACUUACAGGAUUGAGGGUAUUGUGUUCUUUGAAGCUUUCUUCCAGGAAAGCUGAUUGCUCCUUAGAAAGUCUGAGUUUCUUCCUAGUCAAUCCGUUCUCUUCAUCAUCACUUGCUCUUGAACUCGCUCUCUCGGCUUCAAUAGCCUCCAUAUCUCUUUUAUUACAUCUACCACCUCCACUGCUCCUAAUCCCAAAAUCCAUCUGAAAUGACGACAAAGCACCAUUCGGCGAUGACAGCACUGCCCCUUUUUCUGCCCCCUCUGCUGACAUCCAGUUCACAUCAAACCUCCUACCUAAUCCAUCUGUGGAAGCAGCUUCACCAUUAUUAUGUUCAUAAUGAACUUCUGUUGUUUUUAGAUCAUUUCUGCUUUUUGUCUUCAGAACACCUUCCACCCUUUUCAGUGCCAUGUCCAAGCAAUUGUCAACUAUAUUUUGGCUCUCGUUGACUGAUACACCUUUAGUAAUGACAUUCAAAGCUUUGCGCAUAAGCAAAUGAACUGCUUGUUGCCUUUUGUCAGCCAUCUCUUGUCCAUAGAGAUCUGCCACGACACCAUCUUUAGCAGAUUUUGUCCACCUCUUUAAUAUGUAUUGGGGUGGUAUAUGAAUGACGUUUCUUGCAUUGAGAACCUUUAAGGUGUGAGCACAUAAAACGCCAACUGAUUCAUAUUUCUUGCAACUACAAACAAUGCUAGAAUUCACACAAUUGUAUUCCACAGUGCUUUUCUUCAGGCCUACCUCUGUCAAUUGGAAUAUAGAAACUGGUCCAUUAGAGGAAAUUUCUCUUAAUGCCACUGACAAAACUUUAUGCAACUCUUUCUGGAAGGCAGUAAACACUGUAUGAGUGUAUAUACCGGCUGCGUGUUUCUCAACCAGACCAUAAUCAAGAGUCAUCUCUGGUACACUUUCAUUGCAAUGAAAAUCUUCAUAUAAUUCUUCCCUACGUUGUUGUUCUGCUGCUUUAAAAUAUUGCUGAACAAACAUCUGUAGAGUUAUGGUUUCACCCAUUAAAUUUUGAAAAAUACUCUUGAUGUUAUCUGAGCAGCGAAUGCCGGCACAAAAACUUUCCUUGUUGAAUAUAUAAGCCCAUCUUACCCGAGACUUGUAUAGUGUAUUAAGCCAAUGAUUUUUGUGAAGAUCGAACUGCUCCAGCAACGAACUCCAAGUUGACUCAAAUUCUUCCUCCGUGUGACAAUCAGAAAUGCAUUUAUUAAAGAGGCUCUCAAAUCUGGGUUGCACGUAAUACGUGGGAAGGUAUUUUGAUGCAUUUCGGCGGACAUACCAUAAACCAAGCUGAUGCUUUGCUUCUGGCAUUACCAUCUUUACUGCAUCACCCACUGGUUGACCCUCAUCUGUAAAAAUUGUUUUAGGUUGACACCUUCUCAUUGCUUCCAUAAACGUUUCAAACAACCAGCAAAAUGAGUCGAUGCUCUCAUCAAGCAAGAAAGCACAGCCAAAUAGGACAUACUGUUGAUGAUGAUUGAGUCCCCAAAAAGGCGCACAAAUCAUUUCAAACUUGUCCAUCUUAAAAGUUGUGUCCAAAAUAAGAACAUCACCAAAGUAUUCAUAGUCUAUCUUUGACCUGCCAUCUGUCCAGAAGAAAUUUGUCAUGCAGCCAUUGGCAUCAAGUUGAACUGCAUAGAAGAAUGAUGGAUCCUCAACCUGCAUAUGUCUGAAAUAAUUUAUUAAGCUUUGAGCAUCUUCAGGUUGUAGGCUAUUUAUUUUCUUUUCAUGGACAUAGGUACUGCCAAACUCAAAACAUUUCGUAGCCCUGGCAUCUUUUGCCACUGUAGCUUCAUUUUUGGUGGGAAGCGACAAGUGGGGCUCAGAGGUUUUACUGAAACCAUCAAGUUGAUGAUUGUGCUCUUGAGAAAAUUGGGAGAUUACCCAUUUUCCAUUUUCAACUGUACACCUGAUCCUAGCUCUGCAGCCUGUUCUAGUUUCUUUUCUCUUGAACUUGGUUAUCUUGUUGACCUGCUUCUUUGACCGAAACCCUUCUUUUGAACAAAAAAAGAACCGUUCUCUAAUGCUUCCAUUGGAUGAUCGCCGCACCUUUCCUUUUCUUACAAUGAAACCAAUUCCUUUAGCAUAUUUUUUGUAAAAUUCAUAAGCCUCAUCAUCAGAAGAGAAUACCAUUCCAAGUUCUGGUACUUGAAAAUGAUCUUUCUGAGUUCCUUCUCUCAAGAUGAAAGUUGAUAAGGCUUGUAUCUCAUCUUCAUUUGUGUUAGAUGAUAGUGAAUCAUCUUCAUCACUCUCUGAUGACAAUGAAUGAACGUCAAACUCAAAACUUGGAAAGAUAUCCAUUGAAUUAUCCAGCUUCUUAUCUUGAAGAAUUCCAACAUGAUUCUUCAUCAAUCCAGCAACCUCCUUCUCAAUGUCUUGAUCUUGAUCUCCGUCUCCAGAUGAUGAUCCAGACGAAGAUAGACUUAGAUGUGCAGAAAUUGCAGAUAAAGACUCUGAAAGAUCACUCGUACUAUAUACCGUACUGGUGCUGCCCACAUCCUUCUUCUUCCUCUUCUUUGUCUUGGGCGAUGGGCUGCCGAAAACAUAGCCCCAUUCAUGGUCCAGGAUCGAAGGCCCUGCUAAUUCAUCUUGACUGCUAGAAUAAAUAUCGCACCAGUAAUUCAUGAUGGAAUCCUGGUCAACACCAUGGGAGAGGUCACUAUUGGAUGAUGCAGCAGCCCCAGUAACAGAAUUAGAAGUUUCCGCCAUUGGGUUGGAGAAGCAAAAAAGAAAAAUUGUUGCUGGGUUGUGAAAUAGAGAUAUAGGAAGGAAGAGAGUAGAGAAAAGGAGAAGGGAAAACUGGCUCCAAUUCAAACAAAAUUUGGGCAUUUAUAUAGGUAGUUAAUCUGCCGGGUGAACUCAUUAGUCUUCUUGCUGGGGCACACCUAAGACAGGUAGUCCAGAGACCACCUCAUGUUUAGGAGUUCAAGAGUCUAAUCCUGUGGCCAACCCAUGGGAAAGGGA
rnacentral:misc_RNA from 1 species